AUUGAACGCUGGCGGCAUGCCUUACACAUGCAAGUCGAGCGGGGUUUUCGGACCUAGCGGCGGACGGGUGAGUAAUGCGUAGGAAGCUACCCGAUAGAGGGGGAUACCAGUUGGAAACGACUGUUAAUACCGCAUAAUGUCUACGGACCAAAGUGUGGGACCUUCGGGCCACAUGCUAUCGGAUGCGCCUACGUGGGAUUAGCUAGUUGGUGAGGUAAUGGCUCACCAAGGCGACGAUCCCUAGCUGGUUUGAGAGGAUGAUCAGCCACACUGGAACUGAGACACGGUCCAGACUCCUACGGGAGGCAGCAGUGGGGAAUAUUGGACGAUGGGCGCAAGCCUGAUCCAGCCAUGCCGCGUGUGUGAAGAAGGCCUUCGGGUUGUAAAGCACUUUCAGUAGGGAGGAAGCGUUGUGUGUUAAUAGUACACAGCGUUGACGUUACCUACAGAAGAAGCACCGGCUAACUCUGUGCCAGCCGCCGCAGUAAUAC
rnacentral:rRNA from 1 species